AGAAAUGCUAAGCUGUCUCACUGAUACUGAGGGCCAGGAAACACUCAUGGAGAUGGGCCAGGAGCUUGUUCUCAAUUGUCUCUCCACAUUGCCUUUCAAGGCACGGCAGGAGCCAUGAAGUCACCUCCGUCUGGGAAACUACUUCUGAACUGAUGCAACUCAUUGAGCAUUCCCACAGACAUGCCUUGACCCAUCCCAGAAGAUCCUACCAACUGGCUGGGUGAGCUUCUAUCCCCUUUAACCCUAAAGGGAGCCACUCUGUACUUUAGGCCAUAGUUUAGUAGGUUUGUACCUUCAUUAAUAAACAAUGUAAUGGGGUUGAAAAGUACCCCUUCACUUCCUUUUCCAACCAUGGACCCCCCAGGAGCUAUUAAAUGCCUUAAAUAAGAGGGAAACUAUUCAAAUCUCAACAUACAGAACAGGUAACCCUGCCUGAAGAAAGGGGAAUGGCUUUCCUCCAUUUCUAAUGAAUCCACAAUGGAAUAAAAUGAGACCCGUAGGUUUCUGAAUGACUGAACUAUGUCACUCUUUGUUUUGAACCCCUACCAUGUUAUUAAUGCUAAUAAGCCCCAUCUCCCAAGCAGGUGAUGGCAUGGCUGGACAGUAGAAUAGUAACUACAGAAAUGGAGCAGACUGAAGUUCAGGAAGGGCUGGCCUCAGAGGAAGUCAAGCUAAGUAGCUACCCAGAGCAGGUGCCCAACCCCGCAGAUCAGAGGAGCAAAAGCGCAGGCGGACCUCUGGGGACUAAGAACAGAAGGGACGAGAAAGGUGGGAGCCAGGAUAGGGAAGAAGAGGUGUGCUUCUUGUACUUUUUAUUUAAUCUCUAAACACGUUCUUCCUCUUGUUAAACGGAGGCUAAGGGGAAGUCAUUAAAGAUCUAAGGCCUCGCAGUGACGGGAAGAUGAAGCAAGCUGGCAGAGAGCCAAGCCAGAGGCAAGGGGACCAGUUCUGAGGCCUGUUCUCUGCCUUCCUCCAGGAUGAGCCAUCUUCUAAUUAUAACCUGACCCUGAAACCACAGCGAUGACACAGCAUGAGGGGUCCCUGUGUCGGCUGGGAGUUCUAAGGGCCUGACAGACAAGGGAGCUGGUACCUUCUCAUUCUACACUCAGGGGUUUUGCUCCAGAGCUCUAUUUCUAUCAGCCUCUCCUUCCAAUACCUAUAUUUCUAAUGAACUUAGUUACUACAUCACCAUUGCUUGGAAUCUCUAUCCUGGAAUUCACCAAAGGUCUCAAUCCUAGAUGGUUUUGUAAUGUGACCUCUUUGGAGAGUGUCAGAAUCCAGAGUGAGUCUUAACUCACUUGGCCUGGGGUGGAAGAAGGACCAUGGGGUAUGAGUCACAGUAGAGUGGAGGAUUCAUUAGUCUGGAGCUUGAAAAAGACUUGGGUCUAAGACAAUAAUUUCUGGCUUCUCCCUUGCUAACUUAAAACUCUGUGAGUUAAGACAGGGCUAAAACAACGACUUCCUGGUAUUCUCUUAUUAAUGACCUUAGUUGCUUAGACAUAAAACAAAAGGAAAAGGGGAACAAAGCAGAGGCAGUGCUGGACAUGGGCAAACACUGACCUAGAUUAUCAUG
rnacentral:lncRNA from 1 species